rnacentral:rRNA from 1 species
UACGGAGGGUGCAAGCGUUAUCCGGAAUUACUGGGUUUAAAGGGUGCGUAGGCGGCUUGAUAAGUCAGAGGUGAAAGCCUAUCGCUUAACGAUAGAAUUGCCUUUGAUACUGUAAAGCUUGAAAGGGGUUGAGGUCAGCAGAAUGUGGCAUGUAGCGGUGAAAUGCAUAGAUAUGCCAUAGAACACCGAUUGCGAAGGCAGUUGGCUGGGCCUACUUUGACGAUGAGGCACGAAAGCGUGGGGAGCGAACAGG